rnacentral:tRNA from 1 species
GGUGAUGUUGGCGAGGGUCUUGGCGCCGAGGCCGGCGACCUCGAGCAAGCGCUUGGGCUGACGCUCGAGCACCUCGAGCGUGUCGGUGCCA